CUGCAUGUGUCCCAAAUUUUAAAAGUGUCAGACAGACGAAGCUCUGAGCUGGCGUGAAGAACACGGUCAUCAACUCUCGUUUAACUAGAUAACCCCUAAGAUUAUCUUUAAAAUAUUACAGAUAUUUGCCCCCUAAUUUUCAAACCAUAAUUUACAGCAUCAUGAAACAAAUCGUGUUCAUUUUUUAUGUCUGCUUCAUAUUUAUUUCCCUGUUCUCCGUUCUACUAUUGCUGCCGGGUAAAGAUGUCAAGACGAUUACAAGGCCGGCUGAAUCGUUCCAAUCUGACGAGGUGGACCCGAUCGCGGAAAAAAUUGAUUACUUAUUGACGGUGUCCAUAUCAAAUAGAAAUCCCUCCUCGUGACCCAUAACAAAAUCCGAUACAUGAACACUGGGACCAUUUUCUGCUCCGACUUCCGCCCGUUCCUCACCACCGCCACAGGUUGGAGGGAUAAUAUAAAUCCUGGGUUCUGGAGGAGGUGGAAUAUGUACGUGCACAGGUAUGUACACUUGCCCUUUGCUGUGGUUGUGUUGAGUCAUGAUUUCCAUGAAAAAUAGCAUCACUGUAAAAAGGAGGAGGUUGACCCUCUUCCUAAGAAAGUAGACCUGGGUCGAGUUGUUGUAGGGGUGGAGCACUGGCAACGAACCCCUUGUUUUCCAUGAUUUAUUUAUUUAUAGUUCGCUUUCUUCUUAAUUCUGCAUUUACAGUGUUUUAUGUAUAAAAUUUUUUAAAUAUUUUACACCUUAAAUUACUUAUUUUGGGGUCCAUGCGAAUUUUUAAAAUUAUACCCAAAGACGGGAAUGUGAUGUGUGUAGGUAUUGACUUGUCCAACUUUUAAGGAAUCUUUUAGUAAUAAAUUUGUUAACGUUUGUUAAAUAAAAUGCA